CCUGAAGUUCUAAUCAUCCAAACGGCUACUCUGUUGCCAGGCGUCACAUCAAUAAUCCGGGAAGAAAACAAGAGGAAAGGCAGGGGGCUGAUACUUUUGAGUAUUGCUGUGGACUGAAGUGUGUCCCCCAAAUUCCUGUGUUGAAGCUCACCCUCAGCAUGACUGUGUGUGGACACAGGACCUAGCAGGAGAAGAAAGGUCAUGUGAGGAUAUGGCAAGGAGGCAUCCAUCUACUCAUCAGGAAGAGUGGUUUAACCAGGAACCAACCCAGCCAGCAACCUAAUCUUAGAUUUCCAGCCACUACAA